rnacentral:lncRNA from 1 species
GUUUAUGUUUAUAAACAUUGCCAUCUGUUCUUGUACAUGCUGUAAUUUUCAAUUAAAUUCUAUCUCUGAUACUUUUUGAGAAAAAUGCAAGUAAAAGAAAUUGCUUCAAGGGGAUAUAACUCUCAAAGGGGAUGAUGAAAUCCUAUGCAGCCUCAUAUGGUAAUACAUCAUGAUGAGAUCUACCUAUUGUCCAAAUAAAGUCAUGAUAUCUUUUAACACAUUUUGGGGGGACGAUGUGGAAAAAAAUCACUAAAAGGGAGAUAACUUCUAAAGGGGAUGGUGAAAUCCUACAAAAGUUCAUCUGGUAAAAGUUCAUGUUGAUGUCUAUCGAUGGUUCAAUUUUGGUAUUGAUAACUCCAAUAGAAGAGGUAGGAAGGCGUGCCAAAAAAAUGCUGGAAGAAAAAAAAAGAAAAACUAGUAUCUCAAUUGUUUGUAAAACAAUUGAAAGGUCUUUCCUGUAAAAGUGAUGUUUUCGUAAUGUACUUUGUAUGACCUUUCGUUUGAUAUACGACAAGCAUACCUUCUGAAACUUUUCGCUUUUUACACUUAAUGACCUCAUCCUCCUACAUUUUUGAGACCGGAAGUAUGAUAUAUGUAACACAGGGUAGAUGAGCUUUCAUUUGAUAUGCGACAACGCCAUGUUCUAGAAAGUUUGAUUUUUGCACUUAUUACCCCAUCCAACUAAUUUUUGGAGGUCGGGAAUUUGAUAUUUUAAAUGUACACAUCACGACCUUUCAUUUGAUAUACAACAACCCUAUUGUAAAAGAAAAUUUAUUUUUUGCACUCAAUGACAUCAUCCAACCAAUUUUUGGGGAACGUCAAUUUGAAAUUUGAAAUGUACGCUUUAUGUUCUUUCAUUUGAUAUGCGACAACCUUACCAUCUGAGAAAUUUGAAUUUUUGCACUAAAUGACCCCACCCGUCCACCUGGGAUGAAAAAGAGGUUUAAAUUUUUCAUUUUUUAAGUAGAAUUUAUUGAGACCUACAAUUUGAUAUAUCAGAUGACCCCAUUUGACAAAGUGCCAAAAGUGAUGCAAUAUCAACG